rnacentral:rRNA from 1 species
UACGUAGGGGGCAAGCGUUGUCCGGAUUUACUGGGUGUAAAGGGCGCGUAGGCGGGUUUGUAAGUCAGAGGUGAAAUCCUGCAGCUUAACUGCAGAACUGCCUUUGAUACUGCAAAUCUUGAGUUCAGAAGAGAGAAGCGGAAUUCCAGGUGUAGUGGUGAAAUACGUAGAUAUCUGGAAGAACACCAGCUGCGAAGGCGGCUUCUUGGUCUGUAACUGACGCUCAGGCGCGAAAGCGUGGGUAGCAAACAGGAUUAGAUACCCUGGUAGUCCACGCUGUAAACUAUGAAUACUAGGUGUCGGGUAGCAAUACUCGGUGCCGCAGCUAACGCAUUAAGUAUUCCACCUGGGGAGUACGAUCGCAAGGUUGAA